rnacentral:rRNA from 1 species
CCUACGGGUGGCAGCAGUGGGGAAUAUUGGGCAAUGGGCGCAAGCCUGACCCAGCAACGCCGCGUGAAGGAAGAAGGCUUUCGGGUUGUAAACUUCUUUUCUCAGGGACGAAGCAAGUGACGGUACCUGAGGAAUAAGCCACGGCUAACUACGUGCCAGCAGCCGCGGUAAUACGUAGGUGGCAAGCGUUCUCCGGAUUUACUGGGUUUAAAGGGCGUGUAGGCGGGACUGCAAGUCAGAGUGGAAAACCCCGGGCUCAACCUGUGGCGUGCAUUUGAAACUGUAGUUCUUGAGUACUGGAGAGGCAGACGGAAUUCCUAGUGUAGCGGUGAAAUGCGUAGAUAUUAGGAGGAACACCAGUGGCGAAGGCGGUCUGCUGGACAGCAACUGACGCUGAGGCGCGAAAGCGUGGGGAGCAAACAGGAUUAGAUAUCCCAGUAGUC